AAGAUGAAGAGCCUUUGAGUACGGGGAAGGAUUCUUAAGUACCCCAGUUCCUGGUUAUAAUUUUCUCAUUAGUCAGCCUAAGAAUUUCUAUAUACCACAAAGGCAAUAAAUCCAAGGAAUCCCAAAAAUGCAGGAACGAAAAAAAUUCCAAAGAAAUUCUACAGACAGCAGCGGAAAUUGAGGGAGUGCACAAAAGGCGGCGGGGGAUUGGUGGAGCAGAAAGAAAAAAGUCAAUAUAAGGAAAUUAAUUUCCAAAGUCCAGACCGACUGGGGCAGUUGUCGGAAGAUGGGGGCGUAUUCGAGGGAAGACAAUCUUAAGGAUUGGCGACCAACACAUAAAAUUCAAUUAACCCGCAAAUACACACGGAGAAAAGGCGGGCAGGAUGGUUGUGAGGCAGUGCAGCCCCUAGCACUUGUCAGCUCACUUGAAGGAGUUACUUGGACUUGGACUGCACACACACACAUACACACACUCAACACCCCAACACCCUUAGUCGCACACACAUAAAAGCAAUUGAAAGAACAUACGAAAAACAAUAAAAAGAAAUUAAGGUAAAGUAGCAGGCAACGGAAGGAUCAAGGGGGCGGGAAAAGAAUCAUUGAAUCAUUUAAUUAGCGUUUAGAUUGCACACACAUAUACUCACACUCACACACUACCAGAUUAUUGAAUAUGUAAGCUUGUGUGGGUGACAGAGGGGCCGGACCAUUUUCAAUUAGUUUGCCAACCAAUUUAUGUGGCCACUACAAGAAACGAGCCAAAAUAAUGAAGGAAAGAGGAUAACAUGGCAAUGAGUCUACUUACACACAUGUGUGUUUCGGUGAAAUACAGUCAGUGCCUUCGUCACAUUUUCGGUUAAAGAAAGGAAGGAGCACAGCAGUACAAAACCAAAAAAGGACCAGAGCAGCAGAGAAGAGGCCAAGCCAGGACAUUCGCUCGGCAGCCUGAAAAGGAUGAAAACCACAAAACCGCUGCCAACAACAAAUAGGCCCAGCGGGCCUCACUGAGAAAAUGAGCAAGGGUCGAAAAAUCCCGAAUAUUUAACUUUAAU
ensembl:ncRNA lncRNA:CR46206 long non-coding RNA:CR46206